GACGAACGCUGGCGGCGUGCCUAAUACAUGCCAGUAGAACGCUGAAGAGAGGAGCUUGCUCUUCUUGGAUGAGUCGCGAACGGGUGAGUAAAGCGUAGGUAACCUGCCUUGUAGCGGGGGAUAACUAUUGGAAACGAUAGCUAAUACCGCAUAACAAUGGCUGACACAUGUCAUUUAUUUGAAAGGGGCAAUGGCUCCACUACAAGAUGGACCUGCGUUGUUUUAGCUAGUAGGUGAGGUAAUGGCUCACCUAGGCGGCGAUACAUAGCCGAACUGAGAGGCGGGUCGGCCGCCCUGGGAGUGGGCCACGGCCCAGACUCCUGCGGGAGGCAGCAGUAGCGUAUCUUCGGCAAUGGGGGCAACUCUGACCGAAUAACGCCGCGUGAGUGACGAAGGUGUUCGGAUCGGGAAGCUCUGUUGUAAGUCAAGAACCGGUGUGAGAGUGGAAAGUUCACACUGUGACGGUAGCUGACCAGAAAGCGACGGCUAACUACGUG
rnacentral:rRNA from 1 species